GGUCACGUGAUGGAGUUGGUCACCAUACCUGUCUAACAAUUCAAGCUUGCUUGUUCUGUACACAGGAGGUCGGCAGUUCGAUCCUGCCCGGGAUCA